GGUGUCCAAACAAUUAAAACGUCAUCGUUUCGGCAUUUGCCGGCUCUAGUGCGUCGCCGUAUUUUUAUACAUAUGGAAGCCAUCAAACCCAAGCUGUUCUCGCUUCUCUAGCCUCUCGGUGUGUCCUCUCUCAUUCUCUAACCCUAACACCACCGCUCCAAACGUAUCCCUACCGCCAUCUUCUCCUCCCACUCUACAGAAAGGAAAAGCAUAAUCGAGAAAAAACAAGGGAAACGAAUUGAAGCUCCGGUUACCCACCCACUCCUUACAUGUCCAAAUCGAGUAAGGUUUCUUGUUCUUUUUUAAAUUUUCUUCUCUAUCCUCUCAAUUGUUAAUUUUUCUUCCCUGCCAAUACCUUACAACCUCAAAAUUGACUUUUGUUGUUAUCCGGUGAUGCCUAAUCUAUGGAUUUUGGCUGGUGUUCAAUGAUUUUAGGUAUUCCUUUUCUUUUUAUUGUUUGUCAUAGUUCUUGUCAAUAUGAUUACCUCUAUGAUUAUGAGCGACUUCACCAAUCAGAUGAUGAACUAAUUUCAGGAACAAGAUAAGGGUUUAUCUUCAUUAUUAUUAUCUUACUGAUGUCUUCAAUACUAAUAAUCUUUAUGAGGACGACGCUUCUGAUAUGUUUAAAUCUAUGCAAUUCAUAUUUGCCUAUGUCUGUCUGUCCAUUUGGUUUCUGAUUUUAAUUGGCUGUAGUCUUUUGGUCACUGAGAAACAGUUGAAAUUCUUCUUAAGCUCUUCUGCUUUUGAUCAUGCAGUACUGCUGGUGAAAAAUAUGCAAGAUCCAAGGAUGCCACCAUCAGGGGAAAUUACUAACUCCAAGCCACGCAAAAAGAAAGCCUCAACCUCUAGGACUUCCUUGAUCCCAUUACAAGGUAAUGACACCCGACAGGCACAGGGCCCUAUAAGAACAAGCCGGAGGGCCUCCAAAAGGAGCUUGAAGAAUGAAGGCUCUCCACUGAUUCAGCAACAGGAGAGGUCAAAUUCAGAUUCAUUGCCUGACUCAUCUUCAUCAGGAAAUGAAUAUCGUGCGCUCAGAAGGAAAUAUUUGCUGUUGGAGGAAGAAAGC
rnacentral:misc_RNA from 1 species